rnacentral:rRNA from 1 species
UAGGGAAUCUUCCGCAAUGGGCGAAAGCCUGACGGAGCAACGCCGCGUGAGUGAUGAAGGUCUUCGGAUCGUAAAACUCUGUUAUUAGGGAAGAACAAAUGUGUAAGUAACUAUGCACGUCUUGACGGUACCUAAUCAGAAAGCCACGGCUAACUACGUGCCAGCAGCCGCGGUAAUACGUAGGUGGCAAGCGUUAUCCGGAAUCAUUGGGCGUAAAGCGCGCGUAGGCGGUUUUUUAAGUCUGAUGUGAAAGCCCACGGCUCAACCGUGGAGGGUCAUUGGAAACUGGAAAACUUGAGUGCAGAAGAGGAAAGUGGAAUUCCAUGUGUAGCGGUGAAAUGCGCAGAGAUAUGGAGGAACACCAGUGGCGAAGGCGACUUUCUGGUCUGUAACUGACGCUGAUGUGCGAAAGCGUGGGGAUCAAACAGG